rnacentral:rRNA from 1 species
UCCUAAGAUUUAUGCCAUGCAUGUCUAAGUAUAAGCAAUUAUACAGCGAAACUGCGAAUGGCUCAUUAAAUCAGUUAUCGUUUAUUUGAUAGUACCUUACUACAUGGAUAACCGUGGUAAUUCUAGAGCUAAUACAUGCUGAAAACCCCGACUUCGGAAGGGGUGUAUUUAUUAGAUUAAAAACCAAUGCCCUCCGGGGCUCACUGGUGAUUCAUGAUAACUUCUCGAAUCGCACGGCCUUGCGCCGGCGAUGGUUCAUUCAAAUUUCUGCCCUAUCAACUUUCGACGGCUGGGUCUUGGCCAGCCGUGGUGACAACGGGUAACGGAGGGUUAGGGCUCGACCCCGGAGAAAACGCCUGAGAAACGGCGUUUACAUCCAAGGAAGGCAGCAGGCGCGCAAAUUACCCAAUGCCGACACGGCGAGGUAGUGACGAGAAAUACUGAUACAGGGCUCUUUUGGGUCUUGUAAUUGGAAUGAGUACAAUUUAAAUCUCUUAACGAGGAACAAUUGGAGGGCAAGUCUGGUGCCAGCAGCCGCGGUAAUUCCAGCUCCAAUAGCGUAUAUUAAAGUUGUUGCAGUUAAAAAGCUCGUAGUUGAACCUUGGGCCUGGCUGGCCGGUCCGCCUCACCGCGUGCACUGGUCCGGCCGGGCCUUUCCCUCUGGGGAGCCCCAUGCCCUUUACUGGGCGUGGCGGGGAACCAGGACUUUUACUUUGAAAAAAUUAGAGUGUUCAAAGCAGGCCUAUGCUCGAAUACAUUAGCAUGGAAUAAUAGAAUAGGACGUGUGGUUCUAUUUUGUUGGUUUCUAGGACCGCCGUAAUGAUUAAUAGGGACAGUCGGGGGCGUCAGUAUUCAAUUGUCAGAGGUGAAAUUCUUGGAUUUAUUGAAGACUAACUACUGC